AUACUUACCUAGACAGGGUCAAUGGGCGAUCAAAAUGGCCCAUGACCGAGGUUGACGACUUCCAUUGCACUUAGGUGAGGUGUUCGCCUAAUUAAGGUCUACCCAAGUUGGUGGAACCUACGUCAUAAUUUGUGUCAACUGAGGCCUGAGUUCGCGCGGCCCCUAU